rnacentral:lncRNA from 1 species
CCAUGUCUUGGCAUGAUCUUCCAUUAUUGAACCAAUCUUUCCUACUGGCGAUGCAAACUUUGGACAUUACAGUUCUGGUUCCUGAUGGUGAUUUGGGCUGUACCAGGCAGUCAAGGAGGAGGUGCUAGCUCACCUACMCAACAGGGUACCCUCUGCUCUUGCCUUGCCUUGGAGGCCUGCAAUUCUCAAAUAAUGCCCAUGUGCGAAAAGGAGGCAAAGCUCCUGUUUGCUCUGCUCAAGGCUUUGGAAAUUCUGCCGCGCAGCUGGUGACAGCAGUGCUGACAUCCCAAAGAGUUGGUCCUCCUACCGUUUGUCAGUCGUACUUCCCUGCAGCGGAGCCCUACUCCCCACUACUGAGCCUGCAGGUGUGUCCUGUUCUUCCCUCUGCUUUCUCACCUCUGCCUGCCAAGCUCCGCACGGGCAGGGGGGCCUUGGCACCAGCUUGUGAGAGAAGGAGGUGAGCUGUGAAAUCUAACCCUCUUCUUUCUUUCCUCACUCAGCCAAGCCUGCAGCCAGAAUUCCUCACCCUGGGCU